UCGGAUCGCAGGCUGCAACCCGCCUGCGUGAAGUCGGAAUCGCUAGUAAUCGCGGAUCAGCAUGCCGCGGUGAAUACGUUCCCGGGCCUUGUACACACCGCCCGUCACACCAUGAGAGUCGGGAACACCCGAAGUCCGUAGCCUAACCGCAAGGAGGGCGCGGCCGAAGGUGGGUUCGAUAAUUGGGGUGAAGUCGUAACAAGGUAAC
rnacentral:rRNA from 1 species